GAUCGGCGGAAGAGGAGGAGGAAGAGAAGAGGAACAAGAUGGUAGCAAAACGGAGGAGGGAGGGUAUUCUAGACAUUUCGUCAAGCUCUCUGGUUUUUUUUUCCUAGGGCUUGUUGUUGUUGUUGCUGUAUUCAAAAUCUGACAGUGGGGAGAAAAGAGAGAGAGUGAAGAAGCCUUUGGUUUGGUCAAUGAAGAGAGAGAGAGAGAGAGAGAGAGAGAGAGAGAAAAUGGUUUUAUUAUGUCUUUUGUCCUUUCUUCAGAGCUGCACUUCUCUGUCAUGUAUCCAGCUGAAAGGAAUCUUAGGUCCUUUCUUGGCUCUUGCUUGAGCUCUCUCAUCCAACCUCCUGAUUCUCGGAGUCAACCCACAUAGAUACUCCUGCGCUUUGUUUCCUUCACCCGAAAGCCCACUCAAGCUCUCAAUCUUCCACCUCCCGACCAAGAACUCAAGAAUGUCCGCAUAAUCUUUAGCAGUGUAGACA